rnacentral:tRNA from 1 species
UCCCUGAUGGUCUUGUGGUCAGGAUUUGGUGCUUUCACUGCUGCAGCCCAGGUUCAAUCCUUGGUCUGGGAA